rnacentral:rRNA from 1 species
AGCGAACGCUGGCGGCAGGCCUAACACAUGCAAGUCGAACGAAGUCUUCGGACUUAGUGGCGGACGGGUGAGUAACACGUGGAAACGUGCCCUUUGGUACGGAAUAACUCAGGGAAACUUGAGCUAAUACCGUAUGUGCCCUUCGGGGGAAAGAUUUAUCGCCAUUGGAGCGGCCCGCGUCUGAUUAGCUAGUUGGUGAGGUAAAGGCUCACCAAGGCGACGAUCAGUAGCUGGACUGAGAGGAUGAUCAGCCACAUUGGGACUGAGACACGGCCCAAACUCCUACGGGGGGCAGCAGUGGGGAAUCUUGCGCAAUGGGCGAAAGCCUAACGCAGCCAUGCCGCGUGAAUGAUGAAGGUCUUAGUAUUGUAAAAUUCUUUCACCGGGGACGAUAAUGACGGUACCCGGAGAAGAAGCCCCGGCUAACUUCGUGCCAGCCGCCGCCGUAACAC